AUGCUUCAUCUGUGAAUUUUUUUAAUGAAAAGUGUUUAUGUUUUAUAGCAGCUAGGUUUAUUAAUGUUUUCAUUUGUCAUUGUUUUUACCUGAAUAACUUUUUUCCAUCAUCCGUCACUUUAUAUCAAUAUGUGAAACCAUUCUUUUGGAAUACUAGCUGCAGUAUUGUAGUUCUAUGGGAAAUUUGGGUUGUUGACGAAACAUGUAUAUUUUUUAAAGUUCCAUCUAUAUACAGAAACAGUAUAUUUAUUGUGCACAAAAAUUUGCGUUUUGGAAUUAUUUACCUGAUUUUGGAAUAUAUCCAGUAUAAAAAUUUAAUUCCAAAAAAUUCCUGUAACUAUAGCUUUAAGGUUUUCCUGCAGAGCUACAGUUCUGCAGCUAAUGAAAAUUCUUGCUAUAAGAGAGCCAUUAAUGAAAUUAUUAAUAUAUAAUUUUUGUUUCUAAUUAAAAAAUAAUUCUUCACUGGAAGGUGUUCAAUUCAUAAACUGUGGGGUUUGGUUACUUGUGUACCAUAUUUAAUGUUUUAGGGUUGCAUGAAAGGGAACUUUUGUUCAUUGCUAGUUUUGGGCAUUUAUGGUUAACAGACAUUGUUAAAUAAAUGUAUUUUUAUUUGUACAUACAAUUAGUUCACAAAUGCAUAAUGAAGAUCACUAGAAACAGUGAAUAAAUUAUUA
rnacentral:misc_RNA from 1 species